rnacentral:rRNA from 1 species
GAUGAACGCUGGCGGCGUGCCUAAUACAUGCAAGUCGAGCGAACAGACGAGGAGCUUGCUCCUCUGACGUUAGCGGCGGACGGGUGAGUAACACGUGGAUAACCUACCUAUAAGACUGGGAUAACUUCGGGAAACCGGAGCUAAUACCGGAUAAUAUAUUGAACCGCAUGGUUCAAUAGUGAAAGACGGUUUUGCUGUCACUUAUAGAUGGAUCCGCGCCGCAUUAGCUAGUUGGUAAGGUAACGGCUUACCAAGGCAACGAUGCGUAGCCGACCUGAGAGGGUGAUCGGCCACACUGGAACGAAGACACGGUCCAGACUCCUACGGGAGGAAGAAGUAGGGAAUCUUCCGCAAUGGGCGAAAGCCUGACGGAGCAACGCCGCGUGAGUGAUGAAGGUCUUCGGAUCGUAAAACUCUGUUAUUAGGGAAGAACAAAUGUGUAAGUAACUAUGCACGUCUUGACGGUACCUAAUCAGAAAGCCACGGCUAACUACGU